UCACAUUCUAGUUCUGAGAUUUAAAUGGCCAAUCUUCUGGGAAAGAAUACAAGGAGAUCAUGAACCUUUAAAUGAGGGAGCAAGUCUCACCAGUAUUUGAACAGAGACUCACGUUUCAGGACAACAGCCACCACAAUGAUGUCAUCCAGAACUGAGGUUGUGGGACCGUGAAAGGCACCCUGGUUCCUGGUUGAGGAGGUUUGAAACACUGGUGACCCUGAAUGAGAUGAGUGGCUGUCUAAUAUCCAGAAGAAAACCUCCCUGCAUUUCCAGCCACCACCUCCACCACCAAGCCUGUUCCCUACCACAGUCAAGCCAAGGAUUCUUCCCUGAAGGAUCUGCCGGAGCUCCCCCUCUUUCCCAUUUGGCCCCAAGAACCAGAAAACUGCAGCCUCCUUGCAGGCCCGAGGACCCCCAAGCCAGCUCUAGCUUCCCACAGCCGGACACCAGCCGAUCAGAGGCAAGGGGUAAGUGCAGUCAAACUUUCCACAUACUGCCUCCCCAAACGGCCAGAGACAUGUGGUAGAGCAGAUUUGGGACCACAAUAACCCUAAAAUGUGCACCGGUUAUAAACCUACAUAAGAUGAGGGAAUAUCGAUAUAAUCCCAUUGUGCGGGUGAAUAUCCAUUGCACACAAAGUUAUUAUGUGUUCAGAUGGUCUGAUCACCGAAUUUUACCAACCAUUUAAGAAAGGAAUGUUUGUGUCUUCCUGAAAUUCAUCCUUAGAACUGUUAUUACUCAGCAGGGCAUUGGGAUGGAAUUUCUAAAACUUUAUUCUUCUUACCCAACACUAGUCAUUCCUUCUGUGGCUUUGUAUCCUUUAACUUCCUCAGAUCCAUGUACAGUGUUUGUUAUUGUGAUGAAUAAGAGUUGAUGACUUAAUAUGCGAGAGACUCGGUAACUCUACAAUUGGAAUUGGGUAAUCAUUUUUCAUAUUUUUGAAGAAAAUUAAAACUAAAUAUUUAACUCUUCUAUAGAGUUUACACUAGGGUUUUAUCCCUCUGUAUAUUAAGUCAUUUUAUUUUCUUUUAUAUAAAUAAAAUAUGGUGAUGAAUGUUUUAUUUAAGCUAACUUGAUGUAAUAAUGCACACUCAAAAUUCGUGUCCAGAGUCUUG
ensembl:lncRNA